AACGGUACAUCCUAAAGGUGUGUCGACAGGUGAGGCCGGUGUUUACUGGUGGACAGACGGACGGACGGAAACCUGAUCCUCGCUGCUGAGAGGAUGGGAGGAGUUAUAACAUGCAUGAGCAGCGUGUUCAGGCAUAAAUCCACAGAGGGUCAGGUAGAUGAUGAAAGCCCGCCGGUCGCUGUCGACGUGGAUUUACAGCCGCGCAGCUCUUCUUCCAUUAAAAUACUCUGAAUGUACUCUGAGAGCUACAGUACGACGCAGAGCGCCGCAGGAUUUAUGAAAGGAAAUAGCUGCACAGUGCUUUUUCUGUUUUAUUAUAUUUUCCAGGGGAAAGUGUCACGUUCCAGCGCUCGGUGGGAACUGGACACAGGAAGCAGGACGGGGAGCCGAUGACAACAUCUGGAUGUGAUUUCAGAGAGAUGGCAGUGAAAUAUGAAAAGUGAAGGAGCGACACAGAAACCUCAGCUGGAGGGUCAGAGAGCCACACAGUUUUUACUUCUGUUACGACCAAUAAAUAAUUCUGUACCAGAGGGUCAUAACCUUUCAUAACCCUUCAUGUGAAGUCACAGUUGUGGAAAGUACUCUGAAGCUCGUCGCUGCUCCACAUCCUGGCAGCGGCUGAAACCACACAGGGAAACAUGUCAUGGGAAAACAGUCGACUGGAUCAGGGAGCGGGCGGGAGGCUCGCCACAUGAAAUGAUUCCUGGGAAAAAUCUGGCAGAAAUUCCUCUGAAUAUUUCUGAUCCAGCAGCCAAAUGAGGCUUCGAGUCAGAAAACUGGCAGAAGAUCUUCUUCUUCUGGUGACCAAACAGGGUCAGCACAGGAAGUGAACGUGGACGGAGCAGGAAUCUGUGGAGGGUGAUUUCUGGUCAUUACAGGAGGAAACUUCUGAAACAUCUAACGAGUUGUUCCAUUUACAUGCUUCUGCCUUGUGUCACAUGUUGUCCUGUAACAGUUCAUUCCUUUCACAGCUGAAAAACAUUCACACCAUUUUCAUCAACUGAAAUCAGUGUUUUUCUACAGAGUCUGGUGUCACGGAGGAAACUACCUGAAUCAUUCACACAAGUUAACAAAACGAUGUCAAAGAGAACAACAUUACUGCCUGGACACUUAGAAAUCACUGGGACUGCACUUUAUUCAGAUAAAAUAAGCCACUGCCGUAUCUCCAGCACUUCUGUGACCUCCUCAGUACUACGUGAGUGCGGCCUACCAACAAACAGCACGAGCCUGUACUGCAGUGGCUGGAUACUUAGCUAAAGCUAAUUAGCAGCAAGAAGCCCCCUUCUCCACAGACAACUUCCACACACUUCUACAGGAAAUUGCAGUGCUGGAAACCAAAAUCCACCGGUUAGAAGUGAACGUGGAGUGAGUGGACUAUGUGGUAACGACACCUCUUUACUAGGACUCAAAGCAGUGGACAAACACACGGCUAAUUAGCACCAACAAGACAACCGAGAAACAGGUGGUAGACUCUUGGUGCAAAGCCCAAGACUAAAACAUUUCCCUGGGAAAUGGGGGGACUUUACUGAGCUGCUGUUUGUGAUCUGUAUUGACUUUGACUGUGUAGUCAUUGUUGGUGAUUUUAACAUCCAUGUUGACAACCUCCAGGGCAGAGGACUGACUCAGCUUGUGACGGAGCCCACACCCAACAUCAUCUCCAAGGGUCUGAACAUUUCUAAGGUUGUUGUGACUGAUGUCGCUCUCUGCUGCUGUCGCCAAAACCAAUAAUAAUGCAUGUGCCCUGUUUGCUGCUGUCGACAGGCUAACAAACCCUCCUGUGUCAGUAGCCUCUGGACUUCGAUCCACCAGGGCCUGCCAUGAAUUUGCCUCCUUCUUCACUGACAAAAUUCAGAAAAUUAGACAGGCAGUCAGUGUCUCUAUAUCAGGUACAGGGCAUGUCCACUUAAAAUCAGUUCAAAUAGCGUGACACAGUUUGAUCUUAUUAACCUUAAAAACCUGGAGGACAUUAUACAUCUGAAAUCCUCCUCCUGCUGCCUCGAUAUUCUGCCAACAGGCUUUUUCAAAAUAUUUCUAACUGCAUGGCCUCAGAUCUACAGACUGUCAACACGUCUCUUCUCUCAGGCGUCUUCCCACAGACCCUGAAAACUGCAGUCAUCACGCCGCUCUUAAAAAGAACUAGACGCGUCACUACUGAACAGUUACAGGCCCAAAUCAAACCUCCCGCUUUUAAGGAAAAUCACUGAAAAAGAACAGCUUCCUUCUUCUUCUGUUGGAUCUCAGUGCUGCAUUCGACACGGUCGACCACAACAUUUUACUGACCGACUGGAAAAAUGGGGUGGGACUUUCUCGCACAUUAAACUGGUUUGAACACUACUUAAAGGACAGGGACUACUUUGUGUCUAUAGGUAAUUACACAUCUGAGUGGACAAAAAUGACCUGUGGAGUUCCCCAAGGCUCCAUUCUGGGGCCUCUUCUGUUUAACAUCUACAUGCUCCCACUGGCUCAGAUUAUGGAAAACAACAAAAUAUGUUACCAUAAUUAUGCAGACGACACACAAAUUUACAUAGCGAUGUCACCAGGGGACAAUACAAGCGCUGAGUGCACUGAACGAAUCAACGAUUGGAUGUGCCAGAAUUGUCUUCAAUUAAACAAAGAUAAAACUGAAGACGCUGCUGCUCGCGUCCUCACCAAGACCAAGAAAGCGGAUCACAUCAGUCCAGUUCUGAGGUCUUUACACUGGCUUCCUGUCUGUCAAAGAACUGAUUUCAAAAUACUGCUGUUGGUUCAUGAAGCACCUAAUGGUUUGGGGCCAAAGUACCUUUCUGAUCUUCUGUUACGAUAUGAACCAUCCAACAAUAAUGAUUCAUCUCUUACACUGCACUGUAACUUUUACUCUUGAUUUACUUUCUAUUUAACUCUUUAAUUGUUUUUAAAUGUCUUUUUAUGUUGUGCUAUGUUGCUUUUAUGUUUUAUGUAAAGCACUUUGAGUGGCUUGCUGUUGAAAUGUGCCACACAAAUAAACCCGCCUUGCUUUGUUACACAACAUCGUGUUAUGUUAGACAUCUUUUGAUGUUAUUCUCAGUCAGGUCGUGUGCACAAAUUAAUAAUUCAAAAGCACAUGUUUGUAAAUCAUGUGCAUGAAAUGGUCUUUUCCCUCUUUGAGUUUCUGCAAAAUGCAAAAUGAGGUUUUGCAUGAGUGAAUGAGUUUUACACAAAAGACACUGAGAAGUGUCUUUAGAUUUUGUGUUUUCCUGCCGUUGCCUUUUCUUUCCUGUCUUAACGCUUCCCCAUCUUGUGCUUUACGUUUCUUUUUGUUUCUGAAUAAAUCUUAUUGACCUGAGUCUGGAACUCACCACCAGAAUCAGAGCACUCUUGUUUAUAAUCCUCACAAUAAUCUGAUUUAUAGACCUUUUUCACAGCAACAUGGACUUGUCAAAGCAAGGAAGUCACAGGCGGAGCUGAUGGAUCUAUUAAUGCUGUGAAAAACAGCAGUUAUUGAGCUUAUUAGUUACACCUGUCGUGUUCUAUUUUAACUUCUUUAUUCAUUUAGUUUUACUCUUUAAACUCCUAUUUAUUUGUGUCUUUAUACAUAUCGCCUGGUGUUUCUUAUAUAUUUGUCUUAAUGCCUGUCUGUCUCAUGUAAAGCACUUUGAAUUGCCUUGUUGAAAGGUGCUGUAUAAAUAAACUGUCUGACACGUCUGCUGGAAAAUAAAGUGUCACUCCA